AUACGUAGGUGACAAGCGUUAUCCGGAUUUACUGGGCGUAAAGGGCGUGUAGGCGGUCUUGCAAGUCAGAAGUGAAAUUCCUGAGCUCAACUCGGGCGCUGCUUCUGAAACUGCAGGACUUGAGUGCUGGAGGGGAUAGCGGAAUUCCUAGUGGAGCGGUAAAAUGCGCAGAUAUUAGGAAGAACACCGGUGGCGAAGGCGGCUAUCUGGACAGUAACAGACGCUGAGGCGCGAAAGCGUGGGGAGCAAACAGGAUUAGAUACCCUGGUAGUCCACGCCCUAAACGAUGAAUACUAGGUGUGGGGGGACUGACCCCCUCCGUGCCGGAGUAAACACAAUAAGUAUUCCACCUGGGGAGUACGACCGCAAGGUUGAAACUCAAAGGAAUUGACGGGG
rnacentral:rRNA from 1 species